ensembl:misc_RNA Y_RNA Y RNA
UACUGGUUCAAAGGUAUUGAGCUAUCUCCGUUAUUCACAAAUUGAACUUCUUAUUCUUCUCUCUCCCUUCUCAUUAUGGGACUUGACUAGUCUAAA